GAUGAACGCUGGCGGCGUGCCUAACACAUGCAAGUCGAACGGAGCUGCUUUGAUGAAGUUUUCGGAUGGAUUUAAAACAGCUUAGUGGCGGACGGGUGAGUAACGCGUGGGUAACCUGCCUCACACUGGGGGAUAACAGUUAGAAAUAGCUGCUAAUACCGCAUAAGCGCACGGUUCCGCAUGGAACAGUGUGAAAAACUCCGGUGGUGUGAGAUGGACCCGCGUCUGAUUAGCCAGUUGGCGGGGUAACGGCCCACCAAAGCGACGAUCAGUAGCCGGCCUGAGAGGGUGAACGGCCACAUUGGGACUGAGACACGGCCCAAACUCCUACGGGAGGCAGCAGUGGGGAAUAUUGCACAAUGGGGGAAACCCUGAUGCAGCGACGCCGCGUGAGUGAAGAAGUAUUUCGGUAUGUAAAGCUCUAUCAGCAGGGAAGAAAGUGACGGUACC
rnacentral:rRNA from 1 species